rnacentral:rRNA from 1 species
ACGGGUGAGUAAUGCAUAGGAAUCUGCCUGGUAGUGGGGGACAACUUAGGGAAACUUAAGCUAAUACCGCAUACGCCCCAAGGGGGAAAGCGGGGGACCGCAAGGCCUCGCGCUAUCAGAUGAGCCUAUGUUGGAUUAGCUAGUUGGCGGGGUAAGGGCCCACCAAGGCGACGAUCCAUAGCUGGCCUGAGAGGGUGGCCAGCCACACUGGGACUGAGACACGGCCCAGACUCCUACGGGAGGCAGCAGUGGGGAAUAUUGGACAAUGGGCGCAAGCCUGAUCCAGCAAUACCGCGUGUGUGAAGAAGGCCCGAGGGUUGUAAAGCACUUUCAAUGGGGAGGAAAAAGCGCAGCCCAAUACGCUGCGUGUUGACAUUACCCAUAGAAGAAGCACCGGCUAACUCCGUGCCAGCAGCCGCGGUAAUACGGAGGGUGCGAGCGUUAAUCGGAAUUACUGGGCGUAAAGCGUGCGUAGGCGGCUUGCCAAGCCAGAUGUGAAAGCCCUGGGCUCAACCUGGGAACGGCAUUUGGAACUGGCAGGCUAGAGUUGGGUAGAGGGGGGCGGAAUUCCGGGUGUAGCGGUGAAAUGCGUAGAUAUCCGGAGGAACACCAGUGGCGAAGGCGGCCCCCUGGACCCAAACUGACGCUGAGGCACGAAAGCGUGGGUAGCAAACAGGAUUAGAUACCCUGGUAGUCCACGCCGUAAACGAUGCCGACUAGCCGCUGGGCCCUUUUGGGG